CGGGGAAGGAGACCGGCUCCCGCUGGACCGCUGGCUGCCCGUCUUCCGCCCGUCGUCUCGGUGCUUGGGACUCAGCCUACAUGGGGGGAGCCGGCUUGGGACGCCCCGUGUGCAAGCGGCCGGUGCCAGGCUCGAAAGGAAAGAGAAGAUCAGGACUUCUGGAAAAGACUUGGGAGUCAUCCACUACCAGGGCAGCGUUCCAGCUGGGGGAUGGAUGAGAUUCCCCAGGAAGAAGAGGGAAGGGAGAUCUGGGGGAGAGACCUGAGGACAUGACAGAUCCUUGGGGGGAGCCAACAUCUGAGAAGUGGGCAGAAGUGAGGGAGGAGCAGAAGCCAUCAGAGGGCACGUGGGAUCUUAGUUCCCUGACCAGGGAUCGAACCCGUGCCCCCUGCAGUGGAAGCACGUUGUCCUAACCAGUGGACCACCAGGGAAGUCCCCCUGACUCUGCUUAUGUUCCUACUCAAGCCACAGAGGUGAGGUUGAGUGGGGUUAGGAGGGGACACCCCCACCCGGGAUCCCCCAGCAGUCCAGAAUUUCUGCAGAAAGGGCUUCCCCGCUGCCCGUCGAGGUCCAUCUACUCCUGGCAUGCCGUUUGCCCUCAAGACAACGGCAACAGGAAAAUCGCUCAGAAGGUGCUGCUGUCAUUUUAUUUUUGUGCCAGUAAAGGUGCACAGGGACUUAGGGACCCAGCAAGAUGCCGUCAUCCAGCCGUGCCUGGACACUUGCAGUCCCCGCCCUCCUAUGGCAGCUGCUCCAUUUCAUAUGGUUUUGAGUGGCUGACGGUUCUCCUGUAAUCUGAGACAAAGUCUGCCUCCCUGUAACUUCCCUGUUUGAUCCAAAGCCCACCGGGGGGCCACAGCACCUCAGUGCUCCUCCUGUCCUGUGACAGCUGCAGAGACGUGACCACCGCAGAGCCCAUGCUCUCUGUACCCGAUUAGCCUUUGGCUAAGCCAGCAAUGGCAUUGGUGCGUUAGUUCUUAUUUUCCAGAGUCUGUGCUUGCUCCGGAGGCCACUUCAUAGGUGGUAGUAGUUGGGGCAGAGGGACUAGCCUACCCGCCACUGACAACACGAGGGUGAGAACAUUUCUCAAGUUCCUGAUUCGCACGCAGCCUUCCCUGAGCUGAGAUCUGGGGUGCCUCCCCUACCGCUGGGCGAUAGAUAGAACCCAGGGCCCAGGGAGAGGGCCUCGGGGAUGCCCAGGUGCCCAACGGCUCCUGCUCGUGCCCCGGGCCAGGCCAGAGCUUCCAGUGGGCAAGACCCAUGCCCUGUCCUCCUUCUCCUCUUUCUCCCCUCUCCAGCCCCGACCAACUUAGGGAUCCCUGGGAAAGGCCCCUCUGGCCCCCAGCUGCUGCCUGAGCCUGCACUCUCUCUGUGCCCUGCCCACCCAGGCAGCACUCACAUGUGGCCCCCAGGCCGGUCCUCCCUGGUGAGCAUUCCCUCCUUCUCCAUUAGCAUCUGCCGGAAAGUCCUGACCUUCUGCCGGGUCUCCUCCUCUGAGUACCUGUGGGGCACAGGGAAGAUGAGAACUGCUGUCUUGGGUUUGGUUUCCUCCCCAGCUGCCUGCCCCCCAGCCCAUCCCCCCAGCCCUCAGUCACGUGGGCACUUUCCAGCUUGCAAGACCUGUCCAAGGUCACACCACCACCAAGAUUCUCAGUGCUGGGGAGGCUCAAGGCCUACCCGUUUUGCACCAACUCAGCCAACCAAUCAACUAAACAAACAAACUACCAGCCAAACAAACACAUAAACUACAGGAAGUGUUGCUCCCAGAAGUGGGGAGACCCACCAGGGGAGACGGGGCCCUUCCUCCUGGCCCUCCCCCACCCCAGGGCAGGCCUCCCUCCCACGUCCCGGCUGCAGUCACUCUCUGGAGACAUUUUAGGGGACAAAGUGAGACCCGUGGCCUGGACACAUACAUGGCCUUUUCUGCUUUCCUGCUUCAGGGACCUCUGAUCCUCACAGUAGCCUGGGGAGAUCCUCAGCGCAUCCCCGCCUCGGUAAGGUCUAGGCUGCCAGGUGGCUGGCCCAGGAUCCCAGGGGUAGAUCCAUUGCUUCCCAGCUUGGGAUGGGGGGUGGAUGGAGUCUGGGCCUUGGAUGGAAGCUCCCGACUUCUCUACUCCGCUCUCCCUCCCUCCCUGAGGCUAGGGACCAAAGCCCAGAAUUAUCUACCCCUCAUCCUUGUUCCCACACCCUGGGCUUGGCUGUAAUCUCUCUCACACCACCACUGUGACAGAUGUCCGUGCUGCUCCUGGGGUGGGGGGUUCUGUGCUCACCCAGCCCCCGGCCCUGUGCCCAGCACACGCAGCUGUCCAGUGGACGCUGCUGGUUGAGUCUUGGGGUCCCAGGCUCCCACCCUCUCCCCUUCCUGGGCUGCAGGUCAUCGUCCUGGACAGAAAAUAUGGUGACCAAAUAGGAACCGAGGUCCCGUCUUCUUUGUCAUCUGACCAUCCACCCUCUGUGCGCACAGCAGGCCCAGCCCGGCCCACUCAGCCCGUCCAUGAAAAUGCCACACUGUUCCCUCUCAGGGACCCCAUCUCUUUUCUCCUUCCUUCCUCUCCUUCAGCAAGCAUUUGGGAUUGACCCUACCUUUUUGGAGAGCAAUUUGGCAAUUCUUUUCAAAAGGCUUAAAGGAAAAUGAAUACAGCUUUUGACUCAUAAAUUAACUUCCAGGUUUGCUCUGGGGAGUAACCGUGGCUAAGCACAAAGAUGUGACUCAUGGCAUGUUUACAGCAGGAUGGAUUCCCACCCGCCCCACCAGGUUAGGUGUCAACGUUUGUGUUUGUGUUUCCAUAGCAAACUGAGCUUCCCGGUUCCUGGCAGGUGGUUCGUGUGCUAGUCACCAUCCGUUGACUCCUCUGCAGCCUGCACUGGCCUGGGAGUUCCCUGAGGGCAGGGACCUUGUCUGUCUGAAUUGCUGUUGUGUCCUCGCACCUGGCACCUUGCCUGCCACACGUGGCAUCCAAAAGUGUCUGAUAAAUGAGUAGAUGGUGAUGGAGGGGACUGAAGAGUUCGAAGGUGGAAUUUUCAUUUUGGAGAGAUGGCUCUGGUGGCCGUGUGGCUGGAGGAGAGGGAGGCCGGCCCUGGGCUACGGCAGGGGUUCAGGGGGGAGGUGCUGAGGUCAGAGCUAGAGAGUGGGCGUGAGGAUGGAGGGGAAGAAGUGGACGCAAUACCAUCUGGUAGGGAGAAUGGCUGGGACUCGGAACCGGUUGAAUAUGUCGGUAGGGGGGUUAGGAGAGGAACACCACCUACUUCUUAACCAUGUGUCCCCUGACCCCCAGCUGGGGUGUCACCCUCUAUAGGUUUGGGCACCUCUGCGGCCCACUAUAGAGAGGAUUUGUUUUCACCAUUUUAACCUUUUUUUUCAAUUGACCUAUUGUUGAUUUACAAUGUUGUGUUUCAGGUGUACAGCAAAGUGAUUCAGUUAUAUAUACACAUAUAUAUAUUCUUUUUCAGCUUCUUUUCCCUUAUAGGUUAUUACAAAAUAUUGAGUAGAGCUCCCUGUGCUAUGCAGCAGGUCCUUCUUGGUUAUCUCUUUUAUAUAUAGUAGUGUGUAUAUGUUAAUCCCAAUCUCCUAAUUUAUCCCUCCCCAUAGGGAGGAUGGAGUCCAGCCUGGCAGCGGGAGGAGCCCGUCUCUUCCGACCCCCACCAUUUCCGCAGGAGUGUGUGUGUCUCAGGUCCUGCUGUGCGGACACCACUGGCCCAGCUUCACCAGCCCUGGGCCUUGGCUUGUACGUGUCCGCCUUGGUCCCUGUUUAGCAUUCAGCUGGAGGUCCCUAGGCCUUGCCUGCUGGGCAGGACAGAGCCCUCGGUCACCGGGCUCUGAAGGAGGGAAUCCCUCCUGCUGUAAACAUCCCCUGAGUCACAUCCUUGGUCCUUUUCUGAGCAGUGGAGGCUCAGAGGAACUGCUUCCAUCUCACCUUCUCCUCAGGAGACCAGCUUGUCAUUGUCACCAGCACAGAGAAAAACAGUACUGGCCCUUCAGCACUGCCGAGCCCCAAACUCAGAGACCCCUGGGAGGGAGACACCAGCUGGCUGGGCCAUCGGCAGGGGGCCUGGGACCUGGCAGGGUCAGGAAGGAGGUGGACCGAGAGCCAGGCUGGGCCAGACCCCCCGCUGUAUGGGAGGGGCUUCAGGCCAGGGUCCAAGCCGCAUGCCUGGGGAUCUACAGAGCACGUGAAGGCUGGGAGGUGGGAGCGAAGCCCAGGAUUUCAUGAAGACCCGGAGCAGGACGUGUGCAGGGACUUAGGGCUCAUCCCAGAGCCGGCAGGUGUAAGGCGAGGUGACUAACGCCAGCACCUGCUGUUGGGGGGCCGCUGUUGCUGGACUGAACUGACUCAGUAGGACCCCUCUAUGUGCCGGGGUCUCUUGCUGGGAGAAGCUGGGACCCAGGGAGGACAUCUGGUUAUUGGGCGAAGUGGUCUCAAGUGUCACCACCACCUGGAGUCUCCUCUCCCCUCGUACCUCUCAGCUGAGGCCACAGGCACUACGAGGAGAGGCAGAAGAGCCAGGCCGUCCUGUUUGCGAAUCCCAGCGCCCCCACUUUCUAGCUCUGUGACCUUGGACAAGUCCGCCUACUUCUCUUAGCCUGAGCCUCUCCAUCUGUGAAACGGGACAGUAACCUGCCUUUCCAGGUCGUCACAGGAUUAAGGGAGAUAGUGCGUAUAAAGCACUUUGUGCAGUGCCUGGCACGUAGUAGGUGCCCAUAAAUGCAGCUGAUUGAGGAUUAUUUGUCCCAGAGCUGUGGGGACAAAGGGUCUAGUCGUCCCAGGCACCCUGCCUUUUUCUACCCUAGACCCCUCCCAGGUCAGCGUGGUCCCGGGUCAGGAAUCACCUGGGCCUGUCCCCUCUGCUCUCCCAGGAGGCAAAGGCUGAGGAGAGGGAGGCUGGCAUCCAAAUCACCCACUCCCUGAGGAUGUGGCAGCACCUGCCAACUUAAGGCCACGCAGGAGGCCUGGCUGGCUAAAAGUCAAGGGCUUGGACAGGGGAAGCGGGUAGGCAGGGCAAGGCUGCCUGUCUCAGCGCCGCAGCCUACUGGCUCCACUGCUUCCCAAGCCGAUCUGGCUCCCUCAUUGCCGCUUCACUCUUCGGGAAGGAUGUGCCAAAUUCAUUUUUGCUUGGGGACUUCCUGGGUUGCCCUCUGGGGCUGGGGUGGGGGGAGGGGACAAUGCAUUUCUUUUUUUUUUUUUAAUUUGGCUGCGUCGGGUCUUCACUGCUGCACGAGGGCUUUCUCCAGUUGCGGCGAGCUGGGGCUACUCUAAGUUGCAGUGCGUGGCUUCUCAUUGCGGUGGCUUCUCUUGUUGCAGAGCACAGGCUCUAGGCGUGUGGGCUUCAGUAGUUGUGGCACGUGGACUCAGUAGUUGUGGCUCGCAGGCUGUAGAGCGCAGGCUCAGUAGUUGUGGCGCACAGGCUUAGUUGCUCCGCGGCAUGUGGGAUCUUCCCGGCCCGGGGCUCGAACCCGUGUCCCCUGCAUUGGCAGGUGGACACUUAACCACUACGCCACCAGGGAAGUCCCGACAAUGCUUUUUUUUUUUUUUUUUUUUUUUUUUGCGGUACACGGGCCUCUCACUGUUGUGGCCUCUCCCGUUGUGGAGUACAGGCUCCGGACGCGCAGGCUCAGCGGCCAUGGCUCACGGGCCCAGCCACUCCGCGGCAUGUGGGAUCUUCCCAGACCGGGGCACGAACCCGUGUCCCCUGCAUCGGCAGGCGGACUCUCAACCACUGCGCCACCAGGGAAGCCCCCGACAAUGCAUUUUAAAAGAGGGUCCCAGCGUUGAAAAUGUUUCAUUCUGCCUGUCUUUGCCCAGAUCCGGCAUUUCCUAGAUAAUUACUUCCUCUGUCAUUAAUUUGAUCUUCACCACAGCUCUGAGGGGGGUGGGUGGCCUUACUAUUCCCAUUUUACAGAUGAGGAAACAGAACAGGGAGAAGGGAGGAUUCAAAGCUCCAAACCCAGCUAGGGGCAGAGCUGUGCUCUGUCCACCUCGAGUGUCCUCAUAGGAAGGGGCAUGGGUAGGAUGUGGGGGGAUGUCUGGGGCCGGAGCUGGAGCAUCACGUCCCAAAGGCUGGGGGCGCUAUCCCCACCCCCAAGGUGGUUGCCGGCUGCACGUGGAGGCUGCCCAGGAAGAUGACUCCGAAGGCAGCGUCAAUCACCAGUGAAUUAGCCGCCAUCCAUCAAUAUUAAGGAAGGGAUUUCUUUUUAACAGGGCCAAAGAAUGUGUGUUCCUGUGACUAGUGGGAAUAUUUGUCAAAUGUCUGAGAAGCUGGUAAAUAAAUGCGAAUGACCCAG